UACGAGGGGUGCAAGCGUUGUUCGGAAUUACUGGGCGUAAAGCGUGUCUAGGUGGGAUUGUAAGUCAGUUGUGAAAGACCUUGGCUCAACCGAGGAAUUGCAAUUGAAACUAUAAUUCUGGAGUUAUGGAGAGAUGAGCGGAAUUCCGAGUGUAGCAGUGAAAUGCGUAGAGAUUCGGAGGAACACCAGAGGCGAAGGCGGCUCAUUGGCCAUGUACUGACACUGAAGCACGAAAGCGUGGGUAGCAAACAGG
rnacentral:rRNA from 1 species